GUGAACGCUGGCGGUAGGCCUAACCCGUGCACGUCGAACGGCAGCACCGUAAGAGCUUGCUCUUACGGGUGGCGAGUGGCGGACGGGUGAGGAAUACAUCGGAAUCUACUUUUUCGUGGGGGAUAACGUAGGGAAACUUACGCUAAUACCGCAUACGACCUACGGGUGAAAGCAGGGGAUCUUCGGACCUUGCGCGAUUGAAUGAGCCGAUGUCGGAUUAGCUAGUUGGCGGGGUAAAGGCCCACCAAGGCGACGAUCCGUAGCUGGUCUGAGAGGAUGAUCAGCCACACUGGAACUGAGACACGGUCCAGACUCCUACGGGAGGCAGCAGUGGGGAAUAUUGGACAAUGGGCGCAAGCCUGAUCCAGCCAUACUGCGUGGGUGAAGAAGGCCUUCGGGUUGUAAAGCCCUUUUGUUGGGAAAGAAAAGCAGCAGGUUAAUACCCCGCUGUUCUGACGGUACCCAAAGAAUAAGCACCGGCUAACUUCGUG
rnacentral:rRNA from 1 species